rnacentral:tRNA from 1 species
GCAUCCAUGGCUGAAUGGUUAAAGCCCCUGACUCAUAAUUGGUAAAUUUCAAUUCCUGCUGGAUGCC